AGUUUGUCCAUAUACAUGUUUGUGCAUGUCAGUGACUUAGUCACUGAUGUUUGGGAAAACAUUAAUUGUUUUCCAAAUCUUGCUCAUGAUUUCUUUAAAGUUAAAUGUUAUUCCUACUGCGCACUCUGUGCUCACCCUUUUCCACUUUCAGUUUCAAAGACAGAUCAGAGUUGCACAACGAAAGCUUCGAGGAGUUGACUCCGUUAAUUAGGAAAGAAAGAAGAAGUCAAUAUUCUUGAUGAGAAAAAUGUUCAUCAAUGUACAACUUGACUGCUCAGUGUAGCGUCCUCCUUGUAAUGAUGGGAGGAUGCUCAUAAUUCUCAAGAAGAUCGUUUGUUUUGAGAAAGUAGUCGUUGGUGUAUUAUUCUUUUCAUUAUAUUUUUUAAUAAUGAUCAAUACUGUUGAGCCUUGCUCCAGCAUAUUGCAGUAUGUAAUACUUUUGAUCUUUAACUCUUGAGAAUAUUUCUUACUUGACUAGAAGUUCUUGUUUUUCUUUCUAUUGACCAAUUAUUUGUUGUUUAUCAACAAUUAUCUUA